GGUCCAGACACAGUGAGGAUUGACAGAUUGAGAGCUCUUUCUUGAUUCUGUGGGUGGUGGUGCAUGGCCGUUCUUAGUUGGUGGAGUGAUUUGUCUGCUUAAUUGCGAUAACGAACGAGACCUUAACCUGCUAAAUAGCCCGUACUGCUUUGGCAGUUCGCCGGCUUCUUAGAGGGACUAUCGGCUCAAGCCGAUGGAAGUUUGAGGCAAUAACAGGUCUGUGAUGCCCUUAGAUGUCCUGGGCCGCACGCGCGUUACACUGACAGAGCCAGCGAGUAUUUCCUUGACCGGAAGGUCCGGGUAAUCUUGUUAAACUCUGUCGUGCUGGGGAUAGAGCAUUGCAAUUAUUGCUCUUCAACGAGGAAUCCCUAGUAAGCGCAAGUCAUCAGCUUGCGUUGAUUACGUCCCUGCCCUUUGUACACACCGCCCGUCGCUACUACCGAUUGAAUGGCUCAGUGAGACCUCCGGACUGGCCCAGAGAGGUGGGCAACUACCACUCAGGGCCGGAAAGUUGUUCAAACUCGGUCAUUUAGAGGAAGUAAAA
rnacentral:rRNA from 2 species